rnacentral:rRNA from 1 species
GACGAACGUUGGCGGCGUGCUUAAUACAUGCAAGUCCACUGAAGCAGUGGUAGCAAUAUCGCUGUGGAGGUGGCGCACGGGUGAGUAACACGUAGGUAAUCUGCCUUCAGGUCUGGCAUAACUCCGGGAAACCGGGGCUAAUAGCAGAUGAUGCAGCGGCUCGACAUCGAGACAGUUGUUAAAGCUAUGGCGCCUGAAGAUGAGCCUGCGUCUGAUUAGCUAGUUGGCGGGGUAACGGCCCACCAAGGCAACGAUCAGUAGCUGGUCUGAGAGGAUGAUCAGCCACACUGGAACUGAAACACGGUCCAGACUCCUACGGGAGGCAGCAGUAAGGAAUAUUGCUCAAUGGGAGAAAUCCUGAAGCAGCAACGCCGCGUGAGGGACGAAGGGCUUUUGCUUGUAAACCUCUGUAGUGAGAGAAAAAAAUCCCAAUCUUUGGGACAUGAUGGUAUCUCAAAAGUAAGCCCCGGCUAACUACGUG